rnacentral:misc_RNA from 1 species
CGCACAUUGCGCCCUUUGGUAUUCCGAGGGGCACGCCCGUUCGAGCGUCAUUACACCAAUCAAGCCCGGCUUGGUAUUGGGCCCGGGGGCGACCCGGACCUCAAAGGCGUCGGCUGGAAACCUUCAAACUCAGCGUCGUGGCAUUAUCAAUUCGCUGGUGGGAGGGGGGUUCUACGCCGUUAACUUUCAUUCAAGGUUGACCUCGGAUCGGGUGGGGAUACCCGCUGAACUUAA